ensembl:lncRNA
UGAAAAGGUCGUCGGGAGUGCAGGACAUCCUAAAUCCUCCAGAUUUCCUUUCAUAUACAGUUACUCUCUCUUUCUCCGUCACUUACUAGCAUGACCAGCCGUCCUUUCUCCGCAAACAUAACGAGUUUGAAUCUGGCUGUCAUCCAUGAGCUGUAACAGCCGGGGCUGUGAACACAUUGCAGUGCCCGAGGGCAGUAGCGUGGACAACCUGUGCUCUCCUCACAUGAGUGAGCGGCGAGCGGUCCAGGGAUCCGAGCUGGCACGCUCAGCCAAACAGGUGUAUGAUAGGAAGACGCGGGCUGUGAAGGGUGAAUUUUCUUACGUGGAGAAAAACACCGGGAGCAAAAGGUUACCUUCUCCACAGAAACAUGUAAACAGACUGAAAGGUCAUCAAACAGAGCCCCUUGCCGCAGCACCCAUCUCUAGCAGAGGAGGAAUUUAAAAAAGAAAGGUUGUGAGGAAAAGUGGCUGGCCCUUUCAAAAGCACAGAACAGGACAAGAAGGUUUUUCAGACCCAGUCUUUAUUCAUCUUCUCACUGAAAAGAGUGACCAGGACAUUCUUCCAAAAUUCACCAUUUGUGUUCUGCAGAAGCAAGUCUUACAGAUUCAGAAGAACAUGAAGGAAACAAAGUAAAUGAUGACAGAAUUUUCAUUUUUGGUUGAACUGUCCCUUUAAGGGUAAAAUGUGAGCAGCAUGAACAUUUUUUUUAAAGCAUCUACAGUACUGUCCACUGAAACUCUUAAGAUACAUUUGGUUUGAGCAAUUGUGCUGUGUCAAUAUUUGCCAUUGUGAUUACUCAUGCAAAAGUGUGUUAUGCUUUAUGUAAGAUUAAUACUAAAAUCAAUCACUCACAGAGCACUUUAUGUGAACCAGUCCAUUUAGUGAGAGAGGGGGAGAAAAAAAAGAGAGAGGGAGAGAAGUGAGUAAAUAUAUAAAUAAAAAAGCACCUC